AAAUGGAACAAUAAACAAAGCAUCUUCUAUACCACAGGAACAUGUUUCAUUCCCCAUACAUGUUUUAAAUACUGAAGCCUUGAUGUGAACACUACAAUUCAGUGAUGGAGGACCAGUCCCUUUGAGACAAGAAAUUAGCUUUCUAGAUGUUGAUUCCGAGGCUAUGGUAUAGAAUGACAAAUUCACUUGAAGUCCUUUGGGAACUGUUUGUCAUGGUCUCAACUGGUCUGCACAGAGGAUCAGAUUCUUGAGAAAGCAUCCAUGCAGCAGUCCUUGUGAAAGUAAAGACAAGGAAUAAUCCCA